rnacentral:rRNA from 1 species
CCUACGGGAGGCUGCAGUGGGGAAUAUUGCACAAUGGGCGCAAGCCUGAUGCAGCCAUGCCGCGUGUGUGAAGAAGGCCUUCGGGUUGUAAAGCACUUUCAGCGGGGAGGAAGGCGGUGAGGUUAAUAACCUCAUCGAUUGACGUUACCCGCAGAAGAAGCACCGGCUAACUCCGUGCCAGCAGCCGCGGUAAUACGGAGGGUGCAAGCGUUAAUCGGAAUUACUGGGCGUAAAGCGCACGCAGGCGGUCUGUCAAGUCGGAUGUGAAAUCCCCGGGCUCAACCUGGGAACUGCAUUCGAAACUGGCAGGCUAGAGUCUUGUAGAGGGGGGUAGAAUUCCAGGUGGAGUGGUGAAAUGCGUAGAGAUCUGGAGGAAUACCGGUGGCGAAGGCGGCCCCCUGGACAAAGACUGACGCUCAGGUGCGAAAGCGUGGGGAGCAAACAGGAUUAGAUACCCUAGUAGUC